rnacentral:rRNA from 1 species
AACGAACGCUGGCGGCAUGCCUAACACAUGCAAGUCGAACGAGACCUUCGGGUCUAGUGGCGCACGGGUGCGUAACGCGUGGGAACCUGCCCUUAGGUUCGGAAUAACUCCCCGAAAGGGGUGCUAAUACCGGAUAAUGUCUUCGGCCCAAAGAUUUAUCGCCUUUGGAUGGGCGCGCGUUGGAUUAGCUAGUUGGUUGGGUAAAAGCCUACAAAGGCGACAAUUCAUAGCUGGUCUGAGAGGAUGAUCAGCCACACUGGGAGUGAGACACGGCCCAGACUCCUACGGGAGGGAGCAGUGGGGAAUAUAGGACAAUGGGCGAAGGCAUGAACCAGCAAUGCCGCGAGAGUGAUGAAGGCCUUAGGGUAGUAAAGCUCUUUUACCCGGGAUGAUAAUGACAGUACCGGGAGAAUAAGCUCCGGCUAACUCCGUG